UAAAACCAUAAGAAUUUGGUCUUGUUGUGGUCCCAAACACAUCCUACUUAUGCUUGUAAGGAAAUGCUUGAUAGAGAAAAAUUAUCCGGAACUAAGGAUAAAUUUUUUUUGAUAAUUUUCAUAAUCAAAGAAUUAAAGUUUCAAUUUGUCUAUGCAAAUAGCUAUACAUCUUGAAAAACGAAAAGCAAAAGUUGAGAACCCACGAACAAUAUCAUUUGAAGAACACUAUGGUUUAAGAAAAAAUAGAGGUGACUAAUUCAUCAAAGACUACAUAAAAUCAUUCAGCUCCCCGUGCAUAUUUUAGAGAUAUAAAAUUUGAAAUUUAUUGAUGUUAAAACUUAAGGAAUAGAUAAAAAAAAUGAUUGAAGACUAAUUCAUCAAAACAAUACAUUAGAUAAGAAAAUUAAAAUAAAUUUCAUGAAGACCAAUUCAUCAAAUCAAUGUAUUAGUAAAAAAACAAAUCUAUAAGUAAAUACUUCGAACUUUAAAAGAGGAAGUGAAUUGACCUCCUUGAGUUAGGUUGAAAUGUCACUCAUCCCGUGUGUUUUUUGGAGAUAUAAAAUUUGGAAUUUAUUGAUGCUAAAACUUACCUUAUAUUACUCUGUUGUAUUAAGAAGUUAGAAUAUCUAAGUAAAAAUUAAUGUAAUUAGAUGAGAUUGAACCAUUUUAUCAUUAAAAUUGGAAUUCUUAAGUCGC
rnacentral:lncRNA from 1 species